rnacentral:rRNA from 1 species
UACGUGAGGGGGCAAGCGUUGUCCGGAAUCAUUGGGCGUAAAGAGCGCGUAGGCGGCCCUGUAAGUCCGCUGUGAAAGUCAAGGGCUCAACCCUUGAAUGCCGGUGGAUACUGCAGGGCUAGAGUCCGGAAGAGGCGAGUGGAAUUCCUGGUGUAGCGGUGAAAUGCGCAGAUAGUCAGGAGGAACACCGAUGGCGAAGGCAGCUCGGCUGGGAACGGUACUGACGCUGAGGCGCGGAA